GUCCACGCCGUAAACGAUGAUGACUAGCUGUCGGGGCUCAUGGAGUUUCGGUGGCGCAGCUAACGCGAUAAGUCAUCCGCCUGGGGAGUACGGCCGCAAGGUUAAAACUCAAAGAAAUUGACGGGGGCCUGCACAAGCGGUGGAGCAUGUGGUUUAAUUCGAAGCAACGCGCAGAACCUUACCAGCGUUUGACAUGGUAGGACGGUUUCCAGAGAUGGAUUCCUUCCCUUAGGGACCUACACACAGGUGCUGCAUGGCUGUCGU
rnacentral:rRNA from 1 species